rnacentral:tRNA from 1 species
GCGGCAUUGGCGGAAUUGGUAGACGCGCUAGACUUAGGAUCUAGUUCGAUGAGAGUGUAGGUUCGAGUCCUAUAUGCCGCACCA